CAGUCGCCACGGGAAUACGAAGGGUGCAAGCGUUACUCGGAAUUACUGGGCGUAAAGCGUGCGUAGGUGGUGGUUUAAGUCCGUUGUGAAAGCCCUGGGCUCAACCUGGGAAUUGCAGUGGAUACUGGGUCACUAGAGUGUGGUAGAGGAUAGUGGAAUUUCCGGUGUAGCAGUGAAAUGCGUAGAGAUCGGAAGGAACAUCUGUGGCGAAGGCGACUAUCUGGGCCAACACUGACACUGAGGCACGAAAGCGUGGGGAGCAAACAGGAUUAGAUACCCCGUAGUCCCUGUCUCUUAUACC
rnacentral:rRNA from 1 species